rnacentral:rRNA from 1 species
GUGAGGAAUAUUGGUCAAUGGGCGGGAGCCUGAACCAACCAAGUCGCGUGAAGGAAGAAGGAUCUAUGGUUCGUAAACUUCUUUUGCAGGGGAAUAAAGUGCAGGACGUGUCCUGUUUUGUAUGUACCCUGAGAAUAAGGAUCGGCUAACUCCGUGCCAGCAGCCGCGGUAAUACGGAGGAUCCAAGCGUUAUCCGGAUUUAUUGGGUUUAAAGGGUGCGUAGGCGGACUGUCAAGUCAGCGGUGAAAGUCCAUGGCUCAACCAUGGAAUUGCCGUUGAAACUGUCGGUCUUGAGUGUAGAUGAGGUAGGCGGAAUUCGUAGUGUAGCGGUGAAAUGCUUAGAUAUCACGCAGAACUCCGAUUGCGAAGGCAGCUUACUAAGCUACAACUGACACUGAAGCACGAAAGCGUGGGGAUCAAACAGGAUUAGAUACCCGGGUAGUCC